GGGGCGGAGAGGCGGCACGGGACGCGGCGGAGGCGGCGGCAGGCGGAGCCCGGGAGCGGGCGGGAGAGCCUUCACCUGAAUCUGAUGUAAAAUGCACUUUAAAAAGAAUACACAUCCAUGCUCGCUAUGAUAAGGCCUGCAUUCCCCAUCCACAGGGCUCCCUUAUCUUCAGACACAAGCUAAAACCCCAAGGAUUUUGCUAGGCUUCAUGAAAUAAAUACAUCAAAAAUGGAAGGACAGACUGGCAUUUAAGCAAUCUUCUUUCCUAAUCUAUUGGAAGUCCGCUUGGCUAGACUUGGCAUCAAGUCCCACAGAACAGAUUGAGCUGAAUAACCAGCUGCUGUAUAUUGAAGUUAACUGUAUCAGAGGAUGCUGCUUGGAAAUGGGAAGUUCAGAGGGCUGUGUAACAGCAACAGUGUGACAGAGACGUCUUGUAUAUAUUUGAACCUAGUGGUCAGCUAUUGCUUAAUGCCACCGCUUUCUGAUGCUGAAGCUCUGAUUUCAUCUUCUAAGGGCCUUAUGCAAUCAGCAGUGCAGAUUGAGGAAAUGGGAGGGUGAAUUUGGGAAGCGAAGUUGACAAGGAGUUGACAGAAGUCAACACGGUAUUGAUAAAGGAAAGUGAGGUGUUGCUGCUCCAGACAUGAAAGCUGUUGUCUCAGACCCACCAUCAUACUGUUGUUUCUGAUAACUGCUCAGCCAGAUGUUGCAGGCGUUCAAAAGAGGGAGAGUUUGACUUCCGGGAAGCAAUGAAACUGAUGGCAGUCACAAGCUAGGACAAGAUGAUUUGUCUGGAAGAGGUACUCAGUAUAUUCCCUGACUACACACUGAGGCAAGAAUGACCACCUUACACUUUGGCAUCUGAGUUUUAAACUCCUGGGCUGGAUGCCAACAAGUGGCCCUGAGUCUUGAUAUGCCCCAUGUCAAAACAAGACAUGCCAGACAAGAUAUCACCUGAGAUUUGCAAAACACUUCUGAUUCCUACAGUCCAGACACACCUUGAGAGAACUGUCUGUGCAGGUUGCUGAGGUAGCACAAGGGUCCAAAGCAGCAUGUGUGUCUGGACUGAACAGGAGCAGUCAAGGGCUGGGGAAAUCAAAAUUAUUUUAUGAUUAAUGUAUUGUAAUAGCAGAAAUUUCUUCAGUUCCUUUUAUCCACUUAGAUCAAGCUGUCUGGAAGCAUUUCAUGUCUUUUCUUGCAUCGCAUGAGGAAAAAGAUGAAAAGAAGAGAAGAAUGCUGUGCUCACUGGGUUGAACCCUUGUUCACGAUCUUGAACUCAGUAGGAUCUGAUGCAGAAGUUUGUUUGUUUGUCUGUUUGUUUGUUUUCUUUUAAAGUUUACAGGCUCUGGAACAUAGUGGAAGCUAUUCUUCUAAAUUCUCAGCAAAAGGCUGGGCUGAUGCCUGUUUCCAAGCUGUGCAAAUAUACAAGUUUACCGACAAUUAUCGUGGUUAAGUUCUUAAUGAAAGCUUAGUUCUUACUUGUCAGGAACAAAAAGACUUAGAUAUGUUUACAGAUCAGGCUGCUGGUGAUCUCCACUUUCCAUUUUGUCAUGUUUAAUAUGCAGUUUUGAUGUUUUGAAUUUUUACUUAGCAGGCUGAGAGCUGCACCAUAACACUUUUAAAAUUAGUUUUCAUAGCUUAAAUGUUAAUUGGAGUUUCUGUUGGGGAGGCUGAGAUUUAAAUGCUGCCAAUAUAGCUUUACAUGGAGCAAAGUAACAAUUAGGACAAUGUGAAAUAUGUCCUGGUGUUGCAUCAAAAUGAAAAUACGGAGUGCUACCAACCGUAGACUUGUGCAGGGCACCACAGAAGUGUGUUGUGUAGUAUCCGUGGAGUAAGGUUGUUACCUUGCAAGGCAGAAGACAAUUGAAUAAAACCCACAUCAACCCACGUUAGCUGUUUCUUCUUGGGAAACACUGGAUAUUGUUUUUCUUAGCCACACUUCAUGAAGCAAAUGUUAUGAUAAUUGUCAAGUGCUGUGAUACUUCUUCUUAUUUGGUAAAUCUUGUACAUGUGGAUGAGAUAUUAUUUUUCCAUGGGUAUGUUUAUACGAAUUGCAGCCAGUGCCUCUACCUAGAAAACUAUGUCAAUGUAAUGCAACGUUAUGUAAGUUUUGUUUAGGUUCUUAUAUGCUGCACGUCAUAGGGUUGAAUGUCUUCCAGAAAUGCAUUAAGUGGUGGGAUUGUCAUGUGCUGCAUAUGGUUUUCUCUCUCCUAUUCUUUACAAAGGUGGGUUUUGUGCUCUUUUUAUUUUCAGUAUCUUUAAAAAUAGUUGUUACACUAUCUGCACACAGUCCUGUAUGUAUUUGUGUGAUGCACAUUCACAGUAGAAGACAGUGAGCAUUGUGCUGGAGAUAAUCCCAGUGGGAACUCAUCCAAAAGUCUGAGACUGGCCCAAGAAAGCUCUGUUUUCUGCUGAGCUUUUCUUUGGAGAUGUAUAACCCCACUGCACCUACACAAUGAAUCUGCUGUCUGGUUUUCCUCAUUCUGUCAGUGACCUUUCACAUAAGCGUCAAGAGUCCCAAACUUCUGAAUGCCUUAGGAAUAAGGAUGCAACACUGAAAGUAACAUCACAGAUUAAAUACAGGUCUCAGACCUGCACCCAUAGAAUCACAGAAUGAUUGGGGUUGGAAGGGACCUCUGAAGAUCAUCUAGUCCAACCCACCUGCUAAAGCAUGUUCACCUGGAGCAGAUCGCACAGGAAUGUGUCCAGAUGGGUUUUGAAUGUCUCCAGAGAAGGAGACUUCACAACCUCUCUGGGCAGCCUGUUCCAGUGCUCUGGCAUCCUCAAAGUAAAGAAGUUUGUCCUCAUGUUUAGAUGAAACUUCCUGUGUUUCAGUCUGUGCCUGUUGCCUCUCAUCCUAUCGUUGGGCACCACUGAAAGGAGUCUGGUCCCAUCCUCUUGGCACCCACCCUUGAAAUAUUUAUAAACAUUGAUAAGAUCCCCUCUCAGCCUUCUCUAAGCUGAACAGACCCAGCUCUCUUAGUCUCUUCUCAUAAGAAAGGUGCUCUAGGCUCCUAAUCAUCCUCAUAGCCCGCUGCUGGACUCCUUCAAGUAAUUCCCCGUGCAGGAAUGGUUCUCACAACGGCUGUAUCUUGUCCUUGCACAUCUGCAGUGCUGAUAGUGCUGAUAGUGCUGAUUCUCUGUAAUAUGCAGUGGUGCAGGGGACGGCAGGACCCAGGGUAGGCUGCUCCCAGGAGGACCCCACGUUGGAAAGAGUGUUGCUGUGGGACAUUCCUCUUCUCCUUUCUUGCGUUCUUUCCAGCUUUUUUAGGCUGAAGUCUAACCCUAGGUCUCUAAUUCAACUGUUAAAGCUGAGGCAGCGGCCAACGUAUCACACGAGUGAUUAUUAGAGCAGUGCAAGCCCUUUUGACCAAGUAUUACUGCUGUGUAGUUUUUUGUCUUUGGUGUUUUUUCCCAGAUGGAUAUUACUUUUGAACUGAAAUGUCUCGUAGGAGCUGAGCUGUCUGGAAAACAUAUUGAUCAAAUUCCAACACAGUUUUUCCAAGUGUGUUUCUUUUGCUAGCUACUUCCUGAUGCUGUUUAUCCAAAACACCACCUGCUGUUGAGGGCAAAGUUGGCCAUCUGAAACUUCUCUGUGUCCGUGAAGCAGCUGUACCUAUUAGGCUUAAUUUCUUCAGUGAUUUACCAAGUGUAUGUAUUUUAAAACCCACUCUUCUUCUCUGCACUCCUACCACCACCAGUCAUCUCAUGUCAUCUGCAAGCAGUGAUGGAAUUAGGUUGCCAAGAACCUAGAAGGUUUGCUUUCCUUAUACCAAAUUUAACAUAAUAUAUGUAUGGCUUAUGCAAGAAGAAGGACAGGUUUUUUUCCUGUUUUCCUGUCAUAUCAGGUAACUUUGGAAUCUGCUCUCUUCACGAAUAGCAACAUUAACUAUUAAUUUCAGUUCAUAUGAAGAAGAAGGAAAAAAGAUAAAUGAAGACUAAACUUGGGAAGAGUGCAGUAGGAAGAUGCAAAUAAAUAUUUAAAAAUUCCUAGAGAGUCUGAACUUGGGACUGGUAUGCAAGAAAACACAGAAGAGUUACAUGUGGCAUGGAUGCCCAAGAAGUCUGAAUCAAAGUGAAACUGAGAAUAUAGUGUUGCAUUAUAGUGGUCUGUGCUGUAUUUGGAUCAAGCAAAGAGGGAAGGAAAGAAAAACUGAGCUAUUUGAAAGUACAAGAAAGUACAAGUCGACUCCAGCAUCAUAAUAAUGCCUGAAAUAAUGAUUUUUCUUUUUUGUUCAGGAGAUCCUCAGGUACUGUGGAAUAAUGGAAGAGGGUCAAUAGUGGAUUUGAACAUGAGCUGCCAGAAAGCUGAAUGAAUGGUGUGACUGUCACGUCCGCUGAAUGUUCUGGAGCUUUCCUGACAAGGUUUUAAUUUUCUGCCAGUGCAGGCUGGUUUUAUUUUGAUUUUUUUUUUUUUUUUUUUGAGACAUUUGAACAUUUUUAGCCUCUGAUCUGUAUCAGCAACUGAAGGGAUCUGUGAGGACUAAUGUAACUAUUUGUUCCAAACAAGCUACAUAGCUCUUUUUUGCUCCUUUUGGCAAAUAUCCAUGGACACGUUUAAGUUUUAGAAAGCCUUGAAGUAAUCAUUACAGCUGUAUUUGAUCAAUGGAUUGCAUUGACUGCUCACCAUCUGCAAGUGAUGAGAUCUUUUCAGUACAGACAGCCCAAUCAUUGUAAGGUUAACAGUUUGACCCUUCAAAGAAUCCUUAAAAAGCAAGAGACUGGGAAAGUUAGGGGACAGUAUUUUUAAGUUGUAUAAGUCAUAUUGUUACUGUCUUUUGAUCAAAUACACCCCCCUUUAUAAACUAUUUUUUCUCCUUCCAUCCUCUCCAUGUUCCUAUAUCUUGCCAACCAAGUUUGUGAAACUGCUUUUUGCAGAAUUCUUUUAGAACAGAGUAUUGGGUCUUGGAACAUUUCCGAAUAACUCAUAAUGGAGGGCUUAAGUAUUUAAGCCAGUGAGGGUGUUUCAAGAAGGUUUUUGCGUUAUUUGAACACCUCCGAGACUUGCUUACCUGGCUCCCCUGCAACAAAACACUCAAUUUUUAAUAUUUUCUGUGGUUACCACUAGAUAUUACAUCUGGUGCCAAAGUCUGUGACACAUGAUUAGGUCCGUGAAAAUCUCCAAUCCUCACUUGAAUAAACACUUAACAAAAAUAUACAUUGCAUACUUGGCAGCGAAGAGAUGCUGCAGUUAGAUGACAGAGCCACCCUAUGAAAAGGGACACAUCUUAUUAAAAUAAAUACAAAUAAAACAAGAACAUAUCAAGAAUAGUGGCCUGUGUAUUUCAAAGGCAACAAGGUAUGCCAAGAAAAACAUUGUAGUCAUGCUUCCAGCUUAAAACAACAUUUGAAAAGUAUUUUAAAAAGCUUUCUACUUCAGUUUCAGUUUGGUGCCACUGUGAAUUUGCAGGCUUACAGGACUUUUUUUUUUUUUUUUAAUAUAGACACCAUAUAGUAAAUACAGAAUUAAGAAAAAACAUUCAUAAUAUUAGAACCCAUUUGUUAUUCUGUCUGAAAAGACAAAAAAACCCCAAAUAGGAUGUCCUGGAAGCGAGAGAAAGAAGAAUGUCCUAAAAAAUAGCUUCAAAACCCAGAAUAUCUGCACUGGAUGCAUUUAUAAGCAUUAACAGAUAAUAUAUUUAUCAAACUGGUAUUGGUUGAAAACCUACAAAACAAAUUAGUCUUUUUUGCAAUAGCAAUAGCUGAACUGGUGAUGAAAACCCUUGUUUUAGCUACCUGAGGUCAGGCUUAACAGUCUCAGCUGCAGUGGAACACACAAUGUCUCUUUAACAAUAUUAUACAGCAGCUUCUGCUGGCUGCAUACUACAUAAAAUCCAUUUUGCUGAAUAUUGUUCCUUGGAGCAAUUGUUAGCAGAAUAGGAAUGGCACAAGCUUGGGGAAAAAAACAAACCAAACCAACAAGCAGCCCCCCCUCCCCCAAACAAACAAAACCCCCAAAACCAAAUCAAAAGAAAUGUUUUUUUCAGACCACAUUGUUAUGGAAAAAUAACAAUGAAAACCACAUGAACGGUAAGGGAAAGGACAUGUAGAGUAAAAGGGACAGCAGGAAUGCUGUCUGGCUUCAGGUGACGUCUGGCAAUAGGUGGCAUCCAGAAAACGUUGCUGAUUUGGACAGGAAUGAACUACAAACCAGCCAAACUGAGUGCUCAGAAGGAAAUGCCAAGACUUGUGUUUUGGAUCAGUCCUGUGUUUCCAUCUCUCCCCGCUCUAAAGAGCGCAGCAGCCUCAGUGCCACUGUGUGGUUGCCGGCUCAGGCCAUGACCUGAACAUCUGCUUUGCUUUGCUGGGUUUUGGUGUUCCCACCACCAAGGGGGUGUAUGGAACUCUAGAAAGUGAAUCUGUACAAACGAAAGCAGUAACCUAACCCAGCUGUAAAGCAGGAGGGGAGGGAGGGACGCUGCACUACUGUUGCUCCUGUGCAAUGGGAUAUCCACGCUAGCCCUCUUGACUUCUCCAGUUUUCUUCUUUCCCCUUUGGCUGCAUUUGUCUUGUGGCUGCACAUUUUGUUUCUUUAGCUGCCUCUGUGUGAUAGUUCAAGCUACAAAACUGGACAUUAUUCUAUGCAGGUGGUUCUGUAUACUUCCAAAGACUGCGUUUUAGACUGUGACAUUUGUGAUAGCCUGGGAGACAUGGGUUAGAGCAGUGUGUUCAGCCUCAGGAGAGCAGGAAGCCCAUGAGACUGCAGACCAGCUUCAGCAGAAUGACGCUUGUCACAUCUCCACCGGUGUUUUUCGAUGUGCUUAUAUAAGACAACCAAACCAAAGCUUUGGAAGGGGACAGAAAAUGGAAUUUCUGUAAAUUCUAUAACUAAAAUAAUAGAAUCAUAGAACCAUUUUGGUUGGAAGAGACCCUCAAGAUCAUUGAGUGCAACCAUAACCUAACUCUAGCACUAAACCACGUCCCUAAGAACCUCAUCUGUAUGUCUUUUAAAUACCUCAAGAGAUGGUGAUUCAACCACUUCCCGGGCAGCCUGUCCCAGUGCUUCACAACCCUUUCUGUGAAGAAUUUUUUCCUAAUAUCCAAUCUGAAGCUUCCCUGGUGUAACCUGAGGCCAUUUCCUCUUGUCCUAUUACUUGCUACUAGGGAGAAGAGACCAGCUUUCUGAAAAAUAAUGACAUGGCACUUUGUCUUCCUUUCUCUGGAAAGUGUCUGAAGUUUCUUAAGCUUCCUGAUGGGUGGCGGUGAAAGCCCAAGAUCCUGUAGGCUGCUAUGUCAGGGAAAAAUGUAACUACCCUUUAAAGAUAUAUUUCUCCCUGCCUCUCAUAUUACUAGGCUGUUUUCUGCACUGAGUAUUUAUAAGUUAGGUUGGUCUUCAGAAAACAAAAAAAGCCAAACCACCCCAAAGAAAAACAGCUAAGGUAAUUUAAAAACCUCUUAUUUGACAAAUAAUGUGUUAAUAAUAGAAAGAGUGUCAGAUUAAUGUAGUAUCGGAUAGGGGAGAGAAGGCACAUUUCCCAGCAUUAGAUACUUAAGUCGGGCAUUGAUGAUAUCUUAGCCAGCCCAGCUGUUGGAUCCCAUGGCCUCAGUCACCACACCAGCCAGCCAGGCUGCUCAGGCUUCCUCUGUAGGUACCAGUGAGUGAGACCCCUGGACAAGGCAACUGAAAACACCUGAGCUAAGAGAGCCGUGAUCAGCCCAUGAGGGAACCUCUUCCUCUCUGCUGGAUAUUGUGAGAAUUGCUUGCUUGCAAAGUGCCUAACAUUGGGUGAGGCCAAUUAUCCUUACUAUAUAAAUUUUUAAACAACUAAUAAAUUGCUUCAAGUCUUCUAUGAAAUGUCAUGGAGACACUUUCUGUUGGUUUCAUUUCCCAGGAGUAUAUUUUUAUGACUUUCAUUCUCCUAAAUUGUCCUUACCUAGUUUUCACGUCCCAUUUCUUGCACUGUUAUGCUAUGAUCAACAAAACUUCAUAAUUUGGCCUUAUCAUAGGUGAACCAAAACUGAUUUAGAGUGGGAAACAGUGCUUACUAAAUUUAAACAUCAAGGCAGACUGUUAUUUACAUGCAAGACAGCUUUAUUGUUAUCAUCAUUUAUUUAUUGCACUUCUAGUGUAUGGGUAGCUUUGCAGCACAUAUUGCUAGGUGUGCUUUCUGCCCUGUGAAUACCGAUAUUUUGGAAUUCUCCUGAGAAUGAAAGGCAGGUUCAUCUACUCUUGAAGCUUGACAGACAAUAUUCUUAUUGAUCUUUUUAAAAUGAGAAGACAAAAUCUAAUCACCGUUCUUUCUGGGCAUCUGGAAAAAUGUGUAUAGCAGACACGAGCAGUUGCAAUUCUCUUCCUCUGUUAAUCACACUGGGUAGGAAUAUUUACAGGUUUUAUGAUCUGAUUGCCUUCUUCACACAACGUAAUUCACCAUCACGGCUGGGGAUAAAUACUGCAGGGAAGGUACCAUGUAAGGUAAAGUACACAUUCUUCUUCAAGAUGGUGCAUUUAUCUGUUUAAUAAACCUGGUUCACAGCUUUCCAUAGCUAUAGCCAACCAUUAACAGUGUAAUUUAUGUCAGCCCAUAGAGGCCUGGUAGCAGAGCAAUUAGGACACUUGGCCACAGAGCCAGAGUCACGAGCAUGGGCUUUGCUCCAUGUGUGCUACAGUGCUUCCCAAAGGAUCCCAAUUUAAGUGAUGGCUUACUCACUCCGUCUGGCAAGUGGGAGGUGGGCAGGGGAGAUGCCAACGGGCCCAUCCUUGCCGUUUUUUGCAGAAGUGGGCAUGCUUUUAACAGUAUUCAUCCAGGUCUCACCCCAAGACUCGGUUGGGUGGUGGAUGUGCUGUAGAUGCUUGUCACUGCCCUCUUAUGGACAGAGACAGCAGUGAUGGGCAGUAAACUCAGGUCCUCACAGCAAGGUGGACGGUGUGCUUCAGAUUUAGAAAGUCUCCAUGCAUCAAAUGGUGGCAGCCUUAGCUUUCACAGCAGUGAGAUGUAAAAGCAAUAUGUGCUGUUGCUCUGUCAUUUUGGAAAGCAGACAAGCACCCAAAUCACACCCUCGCUACACAUUUGUUAUAACACAAUGGUUGUAUUUGGGAAAAACACUAAUCCAAAGCUAACAGCAACACUUAAUGUGCCCCAGGAUAUUCUGCUGGGCCUCAUUGGAUGCAAGGGCAUCGAGGCGACAAAUAACAUCUUUACUAUGUCCUGCUGCACAGAUCCAAAGCUUUGUCUUGUUGAGGAUGGCCACCCGGUACCCCUUAUCCAAAUGCAUAACCUGUCCUUGAAACAUGUUAUGAAAGCAAAAUAGAUUAGGAAAAUGGUAUUAUUUGCAAGCAAACCAAAUAACAGUGUCAAAUCUGGUGGGCUAACAGUGUGCAGUCAAUUGAAACCAAGACUAAAUAACUUCUGUGUUAAGGGAGAGAGAGAGUGUAUUCUUCUUAGCUGGCAGUAAACUUUCCUGCCAAUAUUUUUUUGGCUGUUACAGUUUCAGUUUCUUUAAAAAACAAACAAACAAAAAACCAAAAAACACCUCCCCCCCCCCCCCCCCAAACUGUAAUAUCAAGCUCCAUCUCCAUUGUACUGUUUAUGAUGCCUUUGUCAAUCCCUUGGAUUCUCUUGGAGCUCUGGUGUCUCUGCUGGAUCAGGCCUUGAUCACCCCUUGCUGCUGCUUUUCUCUGUACCCGUGCACUGCUACCUCAGGUGCCUGUCACUCCAGGGCAGUUACAUGCUGUAGUUCCAGUUUGGGAAAUUACUGAUGCUGAAGAGGGGAGAUCCUGCUGCUGUUCCCUGCUCUGUUCCUCCCUCUUCAGGCUUCAUAGUUCUGGUUGUCCUCUGCACUGUCUCCAGGACUCACCAACUGUACAGUGACCUGACUCAACUUGGCAGCACUAAAAUAAGCCCAAAACAAGAAGUACAGCUUUUUGUUGCUUAGUACAUUGAACUGGCUUAAUUAUACAGACAGAGCAUCAGAGAGAAGGUAAGGCUGUGUGGUUGGGAAGGAAGGCAAGGAAGAGUGAGAAGGAAAGUGCAGGAGCAGGACCAUUGCACCCUAAGGCAACCAGCUGUUAAAUCUCCUCCGCUACACAUCUAGCUAUAUUCAUAGCAUCUCAGCACCUCUUUCUUUCUCUCUAGGCUUCCUUAUGCCAUGUCCAUGGAGUAACAGUGGUAUGCUAAUGCCAUUUUAUGGGAGAAGGCACAGACAAUCAGUAGAUCUCCUGGUGCUACGCAGAUCAGCUGAGGCAUGGCAAGGAAUUGGAGUCAGGUGUCACAAACCAGAGAUCUGGAAACCUCCAUUCAGAAGAACCAGCGGAUGACAUGUUUUCCACUAAAGCAUUUGUCAGAUGUGGUGGAGUCCACAGGAAGCCUUUCAAAACACAAGAGGACUGUGUAGCCAGUGCGGUGUUAUGGCAUUAUGACCAAGAAGCUAUUUUCACUUUGAAGCAACAGCAGACAUUUCCUCUGAGAUAUAAAUAGGUGCAAUUUUUCUUUGACUUAUAUGAAAAAGUUGGCUACUCUACAUCUGGAAGGAGAUAUGUAUAUGGUUAGGUGGGACUCUGGGGGUUUCCAGCAGAGGCUCUUCUUCACCUGUGUAAAAAGGUGACCAGUGUCUUGCUAUUUGUGCAUUCCCAGGAGAUGGGAUUUUCUCUUGAGGAAACCAUUCUCUGGGUCUUGUCACGGGGUGCAGCUUGUCUGCUCUGCCUUGCACCCUUCCAGCAUUUUAAUCUGAAUUAUUCAGGGCAUCUGGAGGUAAAAGGAAAGCCCCUGAGCAAGUGCUUUGUGAUGAUCAGGUGCUCACUUCCCCUGGUGGCCAUAACAUCAGCAGAGAAGAAUCAGCAAAGGUGUCAGUGAGGCCCACAUUUGCAGACUUCCCAAUUUACACAUCUGUAGAUUACUCAAACAGGAUAAUGCGUUUAAAGAAAAGAUUAUCUUGCUGGGUCUUGUUUGACAAAUAUCAGCCUGAAGCAAGUUUUUAUAGCCAAAAUACAAUGGCCUGAUAGCAAUGUUUAUAAUAGAAAUUCUGCCAGCUAUUUGAUGCCAGCAACAAACACAGUGGCCACUUAGUCACUGGAAGACUUUGUUGUCAAAACGACUUGUUUCUUUUGCAGAUGGAAAUAUGUUUGAGAAAUAUUGUUUGGUGCUUCUAAGAGUAAAGGCUCCAUGCUGGUUCGUGGUUAGCCAAGCCCACAGGCGCUGCCUGCAAACCUCCCCAUGUGGUGCUGCCAGGAACAAUAAGGGCUGGUGGGUCGGCAGAACUUUCCAUCAUCAGGCUGGUUGGCAGAGGAGGUGGGAUCCGCUCCUCACACCCCGCUGUGGCUGCAGAGCUGCUGUGGCAGCUCUCCCGUGGCACGGAGAGGGAAGGGUCGUGCCCGUAUGAGGGACAUGUGCUGCAUGUCAGUCACACAUGGCUUGGAGAAAAAGCAGCGUGUGCCCUAAGUCAGGAAACACAGAACAUCCCAGCUCGGGCACUCAUCACUUACCAGGGCUACCACAUCAUGGCUGCCUGCAGAUAGGACUCUUCUAUCAGGUUAAAUAGACAAGGAUCUCUUUAUUAGGGUAUUUUUGAUGGGAAACAUUCCCAUGAGGCACCAGGGCACUGUGGCUUCCGAAACUCUUUCGACUACCCUGUGUGUCACGGGGGGGUGGAUUUUGUUCAGCUCAAGGCAAAUGCUUUUUGAUCUUCAUGUGAUUUCCCAGACUUGGAGCACUCUUGAGUAAAGAACACCAAAUACAGAAUCAUUUUGAUUGGAAGAGACCCUCAGGAUCAUCGAGUCCAACCAUAACCUAACUCUAGCACUAAACCAUGUCCCUAAGAACCUCGUCUAAACGGCUUUUAAACACCUCCAGGGAUGGUGACUCCACACUUCCCUGGGCAGCCUGUUCCAGUGCCUGACAACCCUUUCCAUGAAGAAUUUUUUCCUACUAUCCAAUCUAAACCUCCCCUGACACAACUUGAGGCCAUUUCCUCUUGUCCUAUCACUUGCUACUUGGGAGAACAGACCAACACCAAAAUCAUAUAGUAUUUCUACAGUAGUGUUACUGAAUAGCAUUCAGUGCCCUUGUGCCAAAAAAGUUAUUACUCAGCAAGCUUGUGACAGGGGACUUUGCCCUCGUGGAACUGCAGGAUAACCUUUCUGCAGAUACGCCCUUGGGAGAUACUCGGAAACGAUGGUCUCACGUGUUGGUAUGGGCAAAAACUAACUAGAAUUUGGAUAAAAAGGAGAAUGUAUUUGCUGAGCCAUUCUCGGUAGCACAAUAGCUCAUACAGUAAUGCAUUUGUUGUCAUUGGCCUGGUUUCAGUAGCAGAGUAUGUUCAGCUCAUACUCAAUCAUAUAAAAAAACCAUGAAAAUGACACUGUCAUCCAAGACCACUGAGCUUCAGCUUACAUGGUACAUCACCUGCUUUCAGUUGGGAUCAAUUUGAAGAAAAUUAUUGCCAGUUGCAUUUCGUUAUUUCACCAAAAAGAGGGCUGCAUUUUUGUUUUCCAGAAAGUUGCUGAAUCACAUCACUGUGCAGAAUACAUUCCUCAAAUGGCCUCUCUCUAAUGAUGCAAGACAAAAAAAUGAAAAGAAAAAGGCAAACCUGUAUCAAAAGAUGAAACACGUUAUAUGGGUUAGCUGAGGAAAAGUAAUAUUAUCUUUUUUUAAUGCCUCAUGCUGCAGUGCCUGGGAAUUGAAGGGCAUAGAGUGUUCCUUUCCUCUUUUACUGCUGCGUGAUCUGUACUUAACUAUUUAUGUUGCAAUCCUAAGACCUGCUCUCGCUCCCCAGGAGACAAACACUGAAGUAUUAUUAGACCUUAGUGCGUGGGGGGAAGAGCUCUUAGUAUAAUUUUAAUGUAUAAAUAUUGUAUGCUUUAUGCCAGUCCUUAGAUUUUCACAGGAAUCUAAGUUAGCUGGUGCACACUCUGGUGGCCAGUCUUUCUACAAAGAGAAUUUGCAGGUACAACAUGGUAAAUAAUGCUUGUGUAUUUACCAUGUAUUGCACACCACUUUAUCAUUUGUAAUUGUUAUUUUUAUGUUGAGAACACAUAUACUACUCAGUCAAGCAUCUUAACAAAGGUCAUUGCUCCUAAACAGGUAUUUUUCAGUUGCUAGUCUUUUGAUCUCAAUGGCUGAAUCUGACUUUGUUUGAUAAGAUCCAGUUUCUGCUAAACGUUUUUUGGUCACAUCUGCCUAUUUGUUUCAAAAAGUAAAAGAAUAAGAAAAAAUAAUGUUCUCUGUUUUGUUGGACUAUAAUAAACAUGGUAAGGCAAAGCAGGGUCUUGGUACAGAUUUGUGUCACACUCAGCAAAUGCAGUUCUGACUAGGCCGGGCUUCUGGGCUUUACAGUCAUACAGGUAACUGCCAGCUUUCUGGACCUACAAUACAGCUAUACAUGAGUUACAGAUUUCUAGAAAUUUUUGUGCAUGCAUAUGUAAAUUACAGUAAACAUAAUGUUCAAUUCAGGUAUAUAGCCUCUACUGACAAUAACUAACUCUUUGAUAUUUCUGUAUAUUGUUUUUUGAAGGCAGUUUUAGUAUUGAUUAUGCUUAAUACUGCUUCUCUUAUGUUGUCUGUGACAUACAGUUAUGCAUUUUCUAGUUAUUCUUUUUGUUCAACAGAAAACGCCAGGCUUUUCUUGUUGCAUUCUUCCCUUACUCAUAGGCAGCACUCUAUUCGGCUGUGGGUUUUGGAAGACGAAAUUCAAUUUCUAAUCCAGCAAAUCUCCAUCCUGCAAUGUGCUGCAGUGCCAGGAUACCACAGUGACCGCAGGAGAGGGAAAACACUGAAAGGUUCUUGACCCUUUGCGAGGCUCAGGUGUGAACCUGAAGAAGACAGAAAGAGGAGAAGAUGGUGGAUGUGGACCUGCAGCCCUCCUACCCAUGCCCAGGCUGCUGCUGCUCCCCCUGCUUGCAGGGGUCCUCACUUAAGGUUGGAAAUGCCUGUCACUCAGGAAAAGAAGGUGACCUGCUCCCUCUAUAGGCUUUCGUGGUUGUUGCUUUUAUGAACCAGCCAUCCAGGGGAUCAGAGCUGCAGUCAGGCUUUGAAGGCUGGCAAACUCCAAACUGAGACAUAUUUUGAAUUUCUUUUAUAUUUACAGAUUAUUUUUGUGUGUGUAUCUGUGUGACUAUGUAUAUGUGUGUGUAUGCAUGUAUGUGUAUAUAUAUACACAUUCUCUAACACCUAUGGAUAGAGAUAGGUUUUUUUUGUGCCAAACUCACAUUGGAGCAAUUUUUAUUCUUUAGUCUUAGUCUUUUUUAAACCAAUGCAUGAUACUUUUGUGUGUCAACUUUCUGUUUGUUAACGGUUUGUGAUAGUGCCUUUCUGACUGUCCUACCCUUAUAAAGCAGAAGAGACACCCUCUGAACAGGCAGUUCCACGAACCCAAGCACAAUUCCUCCCUAGUGCCCUCCCAGCACUGCGGUGUCUGGCGUCAUUGUUAUGACAGGACAAGGGGUGAUGGUUUUAAACUAAAAGAGGGGAGAUUCAGGCUGGACAUGAGGAAGAAUUUUUUUACACUGAGGGUGGUGAAACACUGGCACAGGUUGCCCAGAGAGGUGGUAGAUGUCCCAUCCCUGGAAACAUUCAGGGCCAGGCUGGAUGGGGCUCUGAGCAACCUGGUCCAGUUAAAGAUGUCCCUGCUCAUUGCAGGGGAGUUGGACCAGAUGACAUUUAAAGGUCCCUUCCAACCCAAACCAUUCUAAGAUUCUAAUGAUUAUGGUAAGAAAAGCAACCUGUAUUAAGAACAACCCUGUGAAUAAAAAAGGUGAUUUGUAACUUGGAUCAGCUCAGUGAUUUGCUUUCCAGCACAGCCCCAACAACAGUUGCAGAGCAGCACGAGUGUGAAAAAGCAGCCGGAGGCGAGGUGUGGAUGGGAGGCAGAUGCUCCCAAGCUGCCUCACAGCUGAAGUCCCCUUUGGUGAAACUGCAGCUGCUAGCAUACCUUUGCUCUGGCACAGGUAUCAGAGGGAAUUCCCCUGCAGUGCCUGAAAUAACACUUAAAGGAAGAACUGUCACAUCUGUGAGUUAUAUAUUAACUGCUAUACAUGACCUUUCAGAGAGUGGCAGAGUAACAAUUUCACUGAUAAAGAAAAACGGCAGGUUUUCCAUUAUGCAGGGCCCAGUUAUUAACUCCUAGGAAAAGACUUCCCAGCUCUUUACAUUAAAUUAUACCAUUUUCAGUUCUUCCAUACUUUCUUAAAUGUGAAAAAAUUGUUAAGAUGUCUUCAAUACUAAAUAAAUGCCUCUGGCUGUUUCUUGUGGGGAGUGAGGGGGAGAAGGCAGGAAAAGUUUUAGCUAAAAUGUUGAAGCCAUUUCCAAGGAAGUAUCAGAAGAACAAAACACAAGCUUGCUUGAGUUACAGAAAAAAAUAAUCUUAGCAGUCAUUCAGCACUGUGCUCACUUUUCCUUCCCAAGGUCUGACCUUGCUUUGUGCUCAGCAUUAUCAGAGAUCUGCUGCAAUGAAGUUUGUGUCCAUGUGUCACUUAGGACACAAAUGAAAUGCUUUAACUUAAGCUUAAAAGCAAAACCUUGCCAGAGAUGACAAAAAUGAGUGCUAGAUAUGUCUGGUUAAAUGACUAAUGAUUUAUUUGUCUUUGAAGCCUCUGGUGAAAGUUGAGAAGCAUAAUGGUGAAAGAAAAAAAUGUAAGUUACAUAACACUUCACAUGUGGAAUGGAUAAUGCUCUGUUUUUAUGCAGAAAAAAAGAUGUUCUUAAAUGGUUAUAUACAUAGAAAUAAUUAGGAUGAUUUCAUUUGGUGUCCAAUGUCUGCUGUGCAUAUAUUCAGGAGAUUGAAACUUUUUGACUGAAGAUGAGAUUUUCAGAAAAGAUCCUUCUUUUGGUCAGUAUAUUCCACUAUUUAAUGAAAAGAAACCUUGGCCAUAUUCCAAUUCAGUUGUUUGUAUUUAAAGAGAAUUUUAAAACCACAAGAAUUAUCCUUGUUUUAGACCUAAUUAUAAUAUUUUUGAAUUGCAAAAAAAUACCCCAUUUUUUCUUUUUUCAAGGAACUUCUUACUUCAGUAGUAAUAUAUUUGUUUCAAAUAGUAUGUUUGGAUUUUAUUGUAUGGAUUUUAUGUAGUCAGUGCUUUAAGCAUCCUAACAUAAUUACUAACAUAAAUCAAAAUCCCUAUGGUCUUUCUAUCAGGAGCCCAGCUAGACAAGCACCUACAGAGACUCUUUUCCACUCCCUCGUUAUGGGAAACAUACUCUGCAAGGUGAAAUAAGCAGGGGUUCAGGUACCAAAAGGCCAGUAAUAAUUACCAAACACCACAGGAGAUUUGAGGGCAGGCCACGUUGAGGGUAUGACAUUACUCAAAUACAUUUUUGGGGAGAGAAGGAGUGACCAGGGUUGCUUAUCCAGCCCUUAGAGCUGCUACUGCUUCACGUGGGUCAGGGCUGUCCUGGGAUGUGAAGGCCGCGUCUCCUUUCAUCCCACCCAGCCCUCUUCAUGAAAAGAGAGGCAUGAGCAAGGGAGAAUAUUAAUCAUUUUGAGUAAAUAGCUGGUGCUGUGGCAGUGAAGGAGAUAACCUGUGACAGAGGAGAGGUGAAAGGCAAAAAGAAGUAGCCAGGAUUAGGUCAAAAGAAAGACUAAGCAAAAGCAGAGAGAGAAAUGCUGAGUCAAAGGCUUAGCCCAGAGAUGAGUGAUACAGAGUUUCUAUGGAAUUGGUAGAAUCCAGGAUUUAAGUGUGCAUAGGAAUAGUGUGGUAGUUAUGUUUGGAUAUAAGGGCAUACUAUGAACACUUGCAUUGCAGAUAUUAAACGUCUUUAGGCUGAUGCCAGAAGUCUGUCACAUAUGUCAAUCUUGGAGCUGCUGCCAGUUUUCCAAGUACAGCGUGUCCAAAUGAUUAUUACGUCAGACUGCAGUUAGAAGCAUGGAAAAUCAGUUGCACCAGGCCCUUCUGGCAGCUCAGGCUCCAUUCUCAGAGGGAAAGGACAGAAAACAUUCCUUCCAAGACUGGUUCAACAUAGGAUUAGGAUCCACUUGCAUGCUGCUCAGAUGCAAUCCCAUGUGUGUCUUUAGGCAGGCAUGGGCGUCUAUGUGAGACCUCAGAGUGGAGCCCUUGCAUUGUGCAGCCAGAGGAUUCACCCUGGUUCUCACACUCAGCAGGACCCACUGCUGUGGCCUCACACACCUGUGUGACAGGGUAGACUGGAAUAUUGAUUUCAAUGCCUCACUGAGGUCAGCAGUAGAAUUCCCACUGUCUGCAAGGGAGCCAAGAGUCCAGCCUUCAGUCUUCAAUACCUGACACCUAUUGGGAGAUUUCUUUGAAUGCCUUGACAUGAAACACUGAAUGCGUGCUCAUUUCUUUUUCUGCCUUGGACCAGGCUAUAAAAUGGAUGUCCUACACAAACUGGCUGUGGACAUCAUGUUGCUGGGCAGCUGAAAGAUGAUGUAGCAGCAGAUGACUCUCAUCUCCUUUGUAAAGACAAAUGACAUUUUUAACCUUUUAUUUUUGCAAUUACGAUGUCAGGGUCUGUGAUUACGUUAACACAGGCUUAAAAAGGGAAGAUUUCUAUACAAAUCAGAAUUGUUCAAUUGCCUAUCAAAAAAGGCUUUAAUAUUCACUAUGGGAAAUCUUCUAUUGGAUCAGAAAUGUCUAAUAUGAAUAUGCCAACUUCAAACACUAAACCUGAUUUUCCAUUUCUUGCUCAUCCAAAUCACCUUGUAAACUCAUCAAGUGAUUUUGGUGCACCAAAGACAUAUUGUAGCCAAGUAGUGAAACCAGUACUGAGACAUUUUGCAGAUUGCAUGGUUUUAAUUUGUUUUGUAACCUUUAAUCUUAAAAAGCUUUUUUUUUUUUUUUUUUUUUUUUUAGAAUAUGCUUUUUCUUGCUUAUUUGGUUCAAAAAAUAUUGAAAAAUAUUGACACAGAGAUGGCCCAUGCUAUACACUUCUACAAUAUAUGGUAUUCAGAUUUGGAGGAGCCAUUUCAGUAUAAUUAUAAUGUCAAGCUAGAAAUAAGGAGUGAGCACUUAUUUUCUGAGCAUAUGUAUCACCAGCAUUGCUCUUACCAUCAUAGCUAACAACUGUUUAAGAAAAGACAGACAGAGAGGCCAAGCUACGGUUACAUGCCUUGGUAAAUCCGGCUUCAGAGAACUUAAUGGUGGAUCAGAAAAGUUAUCAGUACAAACAGUAAAAUUGCAGGUCUGGUACAAACUUACCCUAUCUAAUAAAAUCUGUUAGCAUUGUUUUAAAGCAAUAACUUUUUUUUGGUCAGCUUUAUAACUGAUUUUUUUUUUUGGCCUGGAAUCAACUUACAGACAACAGAAAGUAUAAAACUGCUUUCACUAUAUCCAGCACUCUUGUUAGUUCAGAAGAAAGAGAAAUACAGUGGUGCACAUGUAUUUGAUCCAGAUUAAAAUUGUAUUGUCAGUUGACCCAAUAAUGCAUGUUGCUGGCAUUAAUGAAAGGGAAGCCUUACCUGUUGAAGAGUUGAUUCUUGAGAACCAUGUAAUCCUGUAGCAUUUCAUCAUCCCACAGGAAAUGCAUUUGUUACUUUUGCCAUCACUGAUUCCCAGUGCCUGUUUGCCCUAGGCUUUUGUAUAAACACGUUAUUUUCCAUUUAUAAAUUGGCUUUUUUUUUUUGUUUGCAAAUUUUAUACAGUGUUUUAUGAAAUUACAAAUCUUACCUGCUCUAUACCAGAAAAGGAAGAUAAUGAAUUAAAGGUCCCAUUCAUUCUUUUAGUGUGAACAUUUUAACUUAAAAAAAAAAAAAAGCUUAACCAAGAGAGAUUUGUAAUCCUUCUUUGAUAAUUCCCAAGAUUCUUCCUCAUGUCUAAGUCAUUACUACAAUUGCUACACAGACAGGUUUGGCUAGUACUGCAAGAAAAUCAAGGGCUGGCCAGCAGGGCAUUUAGCAGUGUAAUACUCUACAGCUUAAAAAUAGCAUUUUGGAUCCUAGAUUCAGCAGAUUUCUAACACAGAAAUACAAGUCUGGAAGACUUCGAGAGGUUAAGUUUAUACCAUUAAGCAUUGUGUGAUUACUGUAAAGCUACAGGACUACUUUUUACUGUUUCAAGAAACCUUGUCAACCUCAUUUUAUAGUUAAAAUUUGUUCUCUUUAUUUAGAAGCCUCUAUUCUGACCAUUUAUAUAUAUUUAAGUCAAUUGCUGAUGCAAUGCAAGUAUAUGACUCCCAACAAAGCCAAUAUUUAUUGCAGCUGCUUACAUACAAAGCCAUGAACUAAGAGGGCAUUCGUUUUCAGAGAGAGAGGGCAGUGUUUGAAUCAGUGCUGUACAGACAUUCAUUUAUAUAUAUAUAUAUAUAUAUAUAUGUAUUUUUUUAAAGCUCGUUUUUACAUUUGCUUAGAUUUGUGUUUGAAAAAACUCACAGACCUCCAGUUUUCUUUUAAUUUUUCAGAAGGCUGAUCAAAACAAUGCUCAUAACUUUAUUAUCACUAAAUCUUCAUGAUAUUGAAAAUCCAUCUUAUGUUUCAGCUGUAACUGAGAGAGUCCUAAUAAGAUUAAUUUAAAUGAUCAGUACGACUGGCAUCCCCUACAACCUGCAUAAUUAGGAGCUCCCCUGCUUAUUUCAUUUGGCAUUGUAAUCGUUUUGCUGAAAAAUCUUUGAAAUAGCCUCAGACGUGCUUAGACUGAUGGAGGUGAAGACGUUUCUGUCUAAGACCCAAAGAAAAAGAAGCUACAGAUGUGUAUUAGCACAUACCAAAGGGAGGAGAUAAGUAACCCCACAGUAUCACAGUAUCACAGUAUGUUUGGGAUUGGAAGGGACCUCAAAAGAUCAUCUAGUCCAAUCCCCCUGCUGGAGCAGGAACGCCUAGGUGAGGUCGCACAGGAACAUGUCCAGGCGGGUUUUGAAUGUCUCCAGAGAAGGAGACUCCACAACCCCCCUGGGCAGCCUGUUCCAGUGCUCUGUCACCCUUACUGAGAAGAAGUUUUUUCUCAAAUUUAAGCAGAACCUCUUGUGUUCCAGCUUGAUCCCACUACCCCUUGUCCUAUCAUUUUUUGCCACCGAGAAGAGCCUGGCUCCAUCCUCAUGGCACUCACCCUUUAUAUAUUUAUAAACAUUAAUGAGGUCCCCCCUUAGUCUCCUCUUUUCCAAACUAAAGAGCCCCAGCUCCCUCAGCCUUUCUUCAUAAGGGAGAUGCUCCACUCCCUUAAUCAUCUUCGUUGCCCUACGGUGGACCCUCUCCAGCAGUUCCCUGUCCUUCUCGAACUGAGGGGCCUAGAACUGGACACAAUAUUCCAGAUGUGGUCUCACCAGGGUGGAGUAGAGGGGAAGGACCUCUCUCGACCUACUAACCACCCCCCUUCUAAUACACCCCAGGAUGCCAUUGGCCUUCUUGGCCACAAGGGCACAGUGCUGGCUCAUGGUCAUCCUGUUGUCCACCAGGAC